CUACGGGGCGCUCCAGGCGCGUAACCUUUACAAUGCACGAAAGUGUGAUAAGGGAACCCUAAGUGCUCAUGUAUUGCAUGGGCUUUUGCCAAGUGUAAAUAGCUUGGCGAAUAAGUGGUGGGUAAGACUGGUGCCAGCAGCCGCGGUAACACCAGCGCCACGAGUGGGAAUCAUGUUUAUUGGGCCUAAAGCGUCCGUAGCUGGCUUAAUAAAUUCCUUGUGAAAUCAUGGGGCUCAACUUCAUGGCGUGCAGGGAAGACUGUUAAGCUCGAGACCGGGAGGAGUUAGGGGUAUUCUGUGGGGAGCGGUAAAAUGCUAUAAUCCUCAGAGGACCACCUGUGGCGAAGGCGCCUAACUAGAACGGAUCUGACAGUGAGGGACGAAAGCUAGGGGAGCGAUCCGGAUUAGAUACCCGCGUAGUC
rnacentral:rRNA from 1 species